rnacentral:lncRNA from 1 species
ACAAUAACUGAAUCAUACAAGUUUUAAAAGACAGUUGCAAAAAUAAAAGAAUCUCGUUGUAAGAAGGCCCAAGAGAAAGCCAAGGGACUCGAUGUUAAAAUCAGAAAUUAAACUUAAAAGAAAAUUAGCGUUUUGUUAACAAUUAAAAUCAGAAAUUAAAAAUUAAAAAUUAACAACAAUAAUUAAUUUAUAAUAAUAAAUAACAUUAACAAUAAUAAUAAUACAUAAUGAUAAUUAAAAAUAAUAUAAAUAAAUAAUGAUAAUAAGCAAAAAUAAUAAAUAUUAACAAAAUAAUAACAAUAAAUAAACAAAAAUAAUAAAUAUUAACAAUAAUAAUAAUAAAU